UCCGUAGGGGGCAAGCGUUGUCCGGAUUUAUUGGGCGUAAAGAGCGUGUAGGCGGCCAGGUAGGUCCGUUGUGAAAACUCGAGGCUCAACCUCGAGACGUCGAUGGAAACCAUCUGGCUAGAGUCCGGAAGAGGAGAGUGGAAUUCCUGGUGUAGCGGUGAAAUGCGCAGAUAUCAGGAAGAACACCCGUGGCGAAGGCGGCUCUCUGGGACGGUACUGACGCUGAGACGCGAAAGCGUGGGGAGCGAACAGG
rnacentral:rRNA from 1 species